rnacentral:snRNA from 1 species
AUUGCUUCUUGGCCUUUUGGCUAAGAUCAAGUGUAGUAUCAGUUGAUGUCUUUGGGGACUCUAU